CUUUUCCCUUGUGCAGAUGUUUUAAAUCUGUCAACCAUGUAUUUUUAGAAAGACAAAAUUAAAACACAACCUUCUCCACAAAAAUCUCAAACUUUUUAACCUCCUGUUGUUCAUGAUCCUAAUUUCUGAUGUGUGAGGGAAUAAAGGUUGCCUAAAACACUGGCUUGCUUGUGCAAAAUAAGAAGCUGUCUCUCUUAUUUCCGGUUUUCUUUGGGAGGUAGAAGGACAUAGAACCUCUCUUAUGAGUUUUGUUACAAUUGAAAGCUCUUUCCAGGUACACAGUUAUAGAAUGGAAAGCAUUAUUUGGCAUUUUAAAAAUUGUGCUUAUGAACACUUUAUUAUUGCUUCGGAAAAUUAAAUAGGAUGCUACCACACCUUACUUUGGAAUUAAUGGAUGUAGAAUGGGUGUAGGGAAUGCUUUUUUUGUUUUUGGGUGCUGUCUCUCCUUGACCGUACUUCAGGACAUCCAUGCUGUUGUCUAACAUCAGAGUUCUUUGAAAUAAUAACUUCUUUUAAGGGGGAGGUAUAUUUUCAUGAUGCUUGUUUUCUAUAUUGUAGACCAAAGCAUUAAAAAAAUCAGAAAGCUACAGCUUUUUCCAUUCCCAGCUCUCAUAAUCUAUUUAUCCCAUUCUGUCCAUGAAUAUUCUCAGUAAUGUUCUGUGUCAGACCAUCUGUAGGUACAGUAUCACAUCUAACAGAUCAGAUCAGACCAACUCAACAGAUGUAAUUCCAGCACGUUGGAACUAUAUUCUGUGAUUCCACAUGCUUAGGUAUUUCAUAAAAUCAGAAAUCUUUUCACCUGCGGCAUAACUUAAGAAUUGUUUGCUGAAAAGCUGUGAGCAAGUUGUAUUUAUACACUUGGAGAUUAUGAAACAUUGCUUUAAAUAGUUACAUAUAUGUGUUGAUGUGUUUUUAAACAUCUGUUUUAAAGAGAAUAAAGUUGAGUGUUCUUCUCUCUGUGUAUUUGCCAUCAUCUUGACAUUAACUAGAUAUAAUUCAAUUUUUUUCUCUCCCCCCCCCCAAAAUUUGUUUAGUUUGUGCAAGCUCCCCUCAGAAAUCAACAUUUUUAGUUGCUCUAAAGGAUAUGGGAGGUUCUUCAGUCCAAUUGCAUGUGUGACUCCUUGUCUCUUCUGCCUUUCUGCUGCCAUAAGAAAACCUUUGUAACUGAAGAUUUUAAUGGCAAGCCCUAGCUGUAUGGUUUUUUUAAGUGCAAGGUAAUUCCAAAACUUUUAAGCAAAAGCAUCACUCCCCUCAAACAAAAACACGAACAAAAUGAAAGUUUUUGUUUCUACUCAAAUUGUUAUUUGAUGCUUGGUAUACUUCCUUAGGUUCCCCAAGAUGCUAUUUAAAGCUAUUUUAUUAUUACAUAAGAUCAUCAGAGGGGAAGUAAUUACCUUUUGAAAGGAUAGCUUUCUUUUUUGGAGUCACCUGAAUAUAUUCCACUUAUUUAUGAGCAUUGAGAGCCUCACGUAGGUUCAUAUAUCAAUGGAAUUGCAUUUUUAGCCUGCAUGGAAACACAACAUUUCUUUUACUAGGAGGAAGUGGUGCCCAUUGUAUAAGAAAAGUAAUCUUUUCAGUGUCUGUUCUUUUCCUGCCUGUUCUAAAUGUAUAAAUCUGCUACUUGAUGCUUUAGCAUUACUUUUGAAGAUAGUAUUGUCUCUAUUUGGAAUCCCGAGUGCUGUGCUGAAACUCAGCAUCCAGUCCUUAAGUGAUGCACAUUACAUCCUUCUGUUAGCAUUCCUGGAGACACUGUGCUGAAAGAGAGAUGGGAAUCACUGCUGUUCUAUGAAUGGUUUUUCCCAAGGUCUACAUAGUUUCUCUUCUCUUUAUUUACAUGCUGAAAAUAAUUCCCCCGACAUUAAGAAGCUGUUGAUAGCUAGUAAGGGAGAGAUAAUAUUUUCUAAAAUUUUGCACCUGCAGUGGUAAUUUAACAAGGAACAUGAUUAUUUUAUUUAUUCCACCCCCAAUGUCCAUAGGAUGCAAUAAUAUCUUUUCUUUUAGGCUGGCAUAUUCCUUAAUGUAAAAAUUUGAACUGGAAUAUUAUUUUGAAAUUUUUAUUUAGCUUUGAUUUGUUUUGCACAUGACUAUGUGCAAAAUACAGCAGGCAAAUUGAGUAUUGAUCACAGGAAGGCAGAGAAUGAUUUUGGGGAAAAUUGUGGGGUUUUGUUGCAUGGAAAAGGAAUUGCAUACUAGAAGUAAUUCUGUGACAUUUCCAUCUGUGAUGACAUACAUCUAAGUUCUUAUUUAUUUAAGUGUGAUAUUAACAUUCAGUGGUAAUUUUGUUACCUCUGGUAUUAAUUUCUGGAAUUUGAAGAAGACUAAUGUAGACUUACCGUAACAAGAACAGCAGUAUUUAAUAACUGUGUUGCUUUGAAUACAAAGAAAAGUAUGGCUAAGUAAUUUAUUUCUAACAAACACAGGAGUAAUUAAUAAAUGUUUCAGGAAGUGAAACCUAUAAGGAGCUGGAGAAGAAAAAAAGAAUUAUGAUAAAUUGCAGUCUCUUACUGUAACUGCUACGUUAUUAGUGAAGGCUGGGAAUAUCGGUUCCUUAGAAGUCCACAAUAGUACUUACUGCUUAAGAGUUCCAUUAGUCCUUUGAAGCAGUCAGACAGGAAAAAUUUCUGGUAAAUUCUGUCUCUUUUGUGUGCAUGUUCAAUUGUUUUUCAAGGUGCUUUAUCAAUUUGUCUGUUGUUCCAGUGUAUAUGCUCAAAUAUAGGGCAGCACAUAUUCUAAUGUAUUGUACUUGGCAGACAUUGCUUGCAGACAUUUGCAGACGUGCAUUAUGAGCUUAUGUAUUUAUUGUCCCCGUUUUAAAUUACGGUGCAGUAUGAUAGAUACAAUGAAAUACAGCCGUUAGAUAAUGUGACUAAAUCUCAUGAUUUAAUAGAUUUUUUGAUAGUGUCCUACAUUGAUUUAACAAAAGUAAAGAAGGAUGAACGAAUUCUUUCAAGAAAACAUCAAAUAUAUUUAUCUUUUUUAUUAAACUAUAGGCUCUAUUUUUAUAUUCCUAGUCGAUAAUAAACUGAAGAAGGAAAUGCAGUAAAGUAGCUGAGUAAUAAGAAUUCCUAAACUGUUAGGAAAUAAAAUCAAAUGGAUUCUGUUUUGACAUACUGGUAUUUAAUAAAUAGUGUUUAAUAAAUAGUGAAGAAAAAAUAAAUGACAAUAAACUUCAAAUUCACCUUAAAUGCAAACUAAAAAGCAGGAGAAUCUGAUUAUAGAUAUGUCUGUAUAUGGUUUUCAUCCUAGGGCACAUGGAAAAUACACUGAGGUUAAAGACACUGAUUUUUUCACUUAGGUUGUGGCUAUAGUUUGCUGCUGUUGAGGAGACAUGAGAAGGGAAGUAGAUAUGACACCAGAAGUGCUUUCGACAAUUGCACAUUUACUGAAAUCCUGAUUUAAGUUGUCUGAAGUAAGCUAUCUAGAGUUUCUCCUUCUUGCUUUUCAGUAAGGAGACUUAAUCUGUUUAAGGAGCAAAAUUAUAAGACCUUUUUACUUUGAUUUUAUAGUUACAGAACAUGGAAUCUUUAUGGGACAGAAAGUUCAGAAAGUUAGAUUUCCAAGUGUUUAUUUGCUUGUCAGGGUUGCUGUCUAUGUGAAAUUACUCCCUAUCCUCUUAAGAUCAAUAUUAAUUGAAGUAGUUUCAUAAUUACUAGAAAGUUAAUUUCUUAUUCUAAUAGAGAUGUGCCAUAGCAUUUCAGUUCAGCCCCUAAUUUUAAUUAGGGUCUUUGCCUCCAUCUCUAAGUCAGUAUAAAUGCUACUUUUAAGUUCCAUUUGGAAUUCUUGAGCUAGCUGUGGGAUUUCUACCCUCUGCUCUGAUGGAUUUACACAGUCCAGAAUAUUUAUCCUCAGGGACACUACCUAUUCUGCUAACUUUUUUGUUUUGUUGUACUCUAUUAAUGCUUAAGAUCAUUCUAAGCAAUCCUCUUCUGUCUUAAGUAUCCUGUUUGUACAUGUGCGGGCUGAUGUAACUUUACCAUCAAAGCAAGUUCCUAGGAUGAUGUGAGAAGUGGUUAUUUUCUUUGCAUAGAACAAUUUAUUUAGUGUCACAUGUGUGCUCUAAGUUUUCACACACAUUUAGUAUUUAUUAUUCUUGGUUAAUAAACGGUAUCUACAUUUUAAUAAUUACCUCCAUGUGGAAAAUAAAACAAUUUAACGCAUUUAUCAAUGGAUAAAUGGUAUUUUUUUACAUUUUGUUUGUAUCUGUUUAUAUUAAAAGUAUCUGCUGUUGACAUCCUAAACCCCAGUGGCAAAAACAAAACCAUAAAGUAUACCUGUAAUACAAGUAUUUUCCUAUAUGUAAUAAAUAAUUGCCUUUUAGUUUUCAAAAA